rnacentral:rRNA from 1 species
UACGGAGGGUGCAAGCGUUGUUCGGAAUCACUGGGCGUAAAGGGCGUGUAGGCGGUCAGGCAAGUCGGAUGUGAAAGCCCUGGGCUCAACCCAGGAACUGCAUCCGAAACUGCUCGGCUAGAGGCCCGGAGAGGAAGGCGGAAUUCCCAGUGUAGGGGUGAAAUCCGUAGAUAUUGGGAAGAAUACCAGAGGCGAAGGCGGACUUCUGGACGGUGACUGACGCUGAGAAGCGAAAGCGUGGGUAGCAAACAGG